ensembl:lncRNA
CUUUAUUAAGUAUCACCCAUGGGAACAACCCCUACAGAAGAAUCAGAAUAUAAAGGAUGUGAGCCCUGGGUUUCUCAGGCGCUGAAAGGACCUGUCAGAAUCCUCCCAGCAUUCCAAGUGAAGACAGGGAACAUGCAUCAAAGAAUGCAGCUGGAGUCUAAAACCUGGGAAAGGAGAGGGCAUGGAUUAUUCCACAGAGCCUAAAGAAGGAAUGCAGUCUUCCAGUGGUUUGAUUUUAACUCAGUAGGACCUGUGUUGAACUUAUAACCUGGAAAACUGUUAGACAAUAAAUUUAUGUUGGUUUUAGACUACUAAGUAUGUAAUUUUUCUAACAGCCACAGGAAAAUAAUACAUUUCGCAAAUCAGUGCAUGUUUCAUGAUGGUCAAUGAUAUGCCCCAGGGUCCAUUUUGGCCAUGAUUUUUAUCCCUUCAAAAAACAAAACAAAAGAAAAAAGUAAAACAAAAGGACCGAUUUUACUAUAUAAUUUGAUUUUUAAAAGUAUUUUAUAUUUAUUUAAUCCGGCAUAUCCAAAAUAUUGUCAUCUCAGCAUAAAUCAAUAUUAAAAUUUGUAUUCAGUUUUUAUAUUUUUUAAACUAAAUCUAGUUUGUAUUUUACACAUAGCAUAAGUCAAUUCAAAUUCACCAUGUUUCAAGUGUUCAAUAUCUACAUGUCACUAGUAAUAACUGUAGUGGACAGAGUUGAUCCAGAUUUUUAAGUGUAUUGGUAUAAAACUAAGUACAUUUUUAUCUUAUUAAAACAAAACAAAGCAAAACUCCAAAACUAUGUCUAUGUUCCUUUUGCUUUUUUUAACAUUGAACAUAUUAUUCUUGUUUUUAAUUUAGUUUUGUCUGUAUUUAGUUCUAUUUUUUGGUGGCUGUUAUUUCUUGUAUGGUUGGCAUCACCUUUUUUUUCAAUUUCUUAAACUAUCUAAACUAUUAUGCUCUAAGUUUAGUUCAAUUUCAAUCAGCUAAUGAAAGACUUUGAAAGACUCAUUUAACUCUCUUAAGCCAUUCUCCACAGACAUGAAAAAUCUUCCUCUCACGAUUCCCUCCUGAAACACUGCAAAAAUAUGUCAAAACGGUGUACUUUCUUGGCACAGAGUUUUAAUAAACUUAGUUUUGCUUUAAUAACAAAUUGUCUGAUUAUAUUUCAGGGAAUUCCACUGGUAAAAGCAUAAAAUAGUAUUAGUUCAGGUCAUCUUUUGUAAAGUUAUGAUUGUGCCAUAAUAUCAAUUCUUGUCAAAAUUUAUGACCUCAAAAUCAACUUAAUAUGCAUCAACAUAGAUAUUUUUUAGCAAUUCUAGACUCCAGGUGCUUAUUUAAAUAAUAUGGGUACACAAGACUGAGCAAAACCAGUUGCUAUUGAACGUACGUUUUAGAGAAAUACGUCAUGAACAGAUGUGUUUUGUUAAAUAAGGAACUUGAUGACAUAAUCAAUAUCAUGGCAGCAUGCAACUGUUGGUUAGUAUGUCUCUUUAAACAAGCACAUAUGCUCAUUCAUGGAGUGUGUAUUUGUAUCUGUGCUGUGUCUGCGUGGUGAAGCAGCAAGCAAUAAUUGGAUGUCUUGAUUAUCUAACAGCAAAAAACGCCUACAUAAUAAAAAGAAAUUCUGAUUUAUUUAUUAGUUCAACUGAGCUUUUCUUUUUAAUGUAACACAGAUGGUCCCUGAUUUACAAUGGUACAACUUUACAGUUUUGCCAUGGUACAAAAGUGAUAAACAUUCAGUAGAAACAAUACUUUUAUUACCCAUAUACCCAUUCUGUUUUUCACAUUCAGUACAGAAUUUAAUAAUUUACAUGUGAUAUUCAACACUUUAUUUAAAAAUAGGCUUUAUGUUAGAUAUUUUUUUCUGACUUUUGGCUAAUGUAAGUGUUCUGAGCACAUUUGUUAAGUGUAUUUUUUAUAUAUAUAUAUACUUUAAGUUCUAGGGCACAUGUGCACAACCUGCAGGUUUGUUACAUAUGUAUACAUGUGCUGUGUAGGUUUGCUGCACCCAUUAACUCAUCAUUUACAUUAAGUAUUUCUCCUAAUGCUAUCUCUACCCCAUCCAAUGAGAGGCCCUUGUGUGUGAUGUUCCCCAUCCUAUGUCCAAGUGUUCUCAUUGUUCAAUUUCCACCUGUGAGUGAGAACAUGCAGUGUUUGGUUUUCUGUCCUUGCGAUAGUUUGCUCAGAAUGAUGAUUUCUAGCUUCAUCCAUGUCACUACAAAGGACAUGAGCUCAUCCUUUUUUAUGGCUGCAUAGUAUUCCAUGGUAUAUAUGUG